UACAGAGGGUGCAAGCGUUGUUCGGAAUUAUUGGGCGUAAAGCGCGUGUAGGCUGCGGAGCAUGUCGGGUGUGAAAGCCCUCGGCUUAACCGAGGAAGUGCGCCCGAAACUGCUUUGCUGGAGUGCUGGAGAGGGUAGCGGAAUUCCCGGUGUAGAGGUGAAAUUCGUAGAUAUCGGGAGGAACACCAGUGGCGAAGGCGGCUACCUGGACAGACACUGACGCUGAGACGCGAAAGCGUGGGGAGCAAACAGG
rnacentral:rRNA from 1 species